rnacentral:rRNA from 1 species
UACAGAGGGGGCAAGCGUUGUUCGGAAUUACUGGGCGUAAAGGGCGCGUAGGCGGCCUCGCAAGUCCCGUGUGAAAUCCCUCGGCUCAACUGAGGAAUGGCACGGGAAACUGCGGGGCUUGAGUUCGGGAGAGGGAAGCGGAAUUCCGGGUGUAGCGGUGAAAUGCGUAGAUAUCCGGAGGAACACCGAUGGCGAAGGCAGGUCUCUGGGCCGCAACUGACGCUGAGGAGCGAAAGCAUGGGGAGCGAACAGG